rnacentral:lncRNA from 1 species
CCUGAGUUAAUUGGGGGUUUCGGCAAAUGGCUAGUUCCCCUAGUAAUCAGUGCCCCUAUCGGUGCCCCUGACAUGGCAUUCCCUCGAAUAAAUAAUAGAAGCUUUUGACUUCUUCCUCCAUCCUUUCUACUCCUAUUUGCCUCAUCCAUGGUAGAAGCAGGUGCCGGAACCGGCUGAACAGUCUAUGCCCCACCUCAUGGCUCU